rnacentral:rRNA from 1 species
UACGGAGGGUGCGAGCGUUGUCCGGAAUCACUGGGCGUAAAGGGCGCGUAGGUGGCGACGCAAGUCAACGGUGAAAGCUCGACGCUCAACGUCGAGUCGGCCGUCGAUACUGCAUCGCUGGAGCACUGUAGAGGCAGAUGGAAUUCCGGGUGUAGCGGUGGAAUGCGUAGAUAUCGAGAGGAACACCGGUGGCGAAGGCGGCCUUCUGGACAAGUGACUGACGCUGGAGACGCGAAAGCGUGGGGAGCAAACGGG